GACGAACGCUGGCGGCGUGCUUAACACAUGCAAGUCGAACGGAAAGGCCCUGCUUGUGUGGGGUGCUCGAGUCGCGAACGGGUGAGUAACACGUGAGUAACCUGCCCUUGACUUUGUGAUAACUUCAGGAAACUGGGGCUAAUACCGGAUAGGAGCUCCUGCUGCAUGGGGGGGGUUGGAAAGUUUCGGCGGUUGGGGAUGGACUCGCGGCUUAUCAGCUUGUUGGUGGGGUAGUGGCUUACCAAGGCUUUGACGGGUAGCCGGCCUGAGAGGGUGACCGGCGACCUUGGGACUGAGGUACGGCCCAGACUCCUACGGGAGGCAGCAGUGGGGAAUAUUGCCCAAUGGGGGGAAGCCUGAUGCAGCAACGCCGCGUGCGGGAUGACGGCCUUCGGGGUGUAAACCGCUUUGGCCUGAGACGACGCGUGAGUGACGGUAAUGGGUAAAGAAGCACCGGCUAACUACGUG
rnacentral:rRNA from 1 species